GGAGGAUAUAGCUUAGUGGUAGAGCACAUGCUUAGAAAGCAUGAGGCCCUGGGUUAAAUCCCUAGUAUCUCUG